AAGUUAGCGGCGGACGGGUGAGUAACACGUGGGUAACCUGCCCAUAAGACUGGGAUAACUCCGGGAAACCGGGGCUAAUACCGGAUAACAUUUUGAACCGCAUGGUUCGAAAUUGAAAGGCGGCUUCGGCUGUCACUUAUGGAUGGACCCGCGUCGCAUUAGCUAGUUGGUGAGGUAACGGCUCACCAAGGCAACGAUGCGUAGCCGACCUGAGAGGGUGAUCGGCCACACUGGGACUGAGACACGGCCCAGACUCCUACGGGAGGCAGCAGUAGGGAAUCUUCCGCAAUGGACGAAAGUCUGACGGAGCAACGCCGCGUGAGUGAUGAAGGCUUUCGGGUCGUAAAACUCUGUUGUUAGGGAAGAACAAGUGCUAGUUGAAUAAGCUGGCACCUUGACGGUACCUAACCAGAAAGCCACGGCUAACUACGUGCCAGCAGCCGCGGUAAUACGUAGGUGGCAAGCGUUAUCCGGAAUUAUUGGGCGUAAAGCGCGCGCAGGUGGUUUCUUAAGUCUGAUGUGAAAGCCCACGGCUCAACCGUGGAGGGUCAUUGGAAACUGGGAGACUUGAGUGCAGAAGAGGAAAGUGGAAUUCCAUGUGUAGCGGUGAAAUGCGUAGAGAUAUGGAGGAA
rnacentral:rRNA from 1 species